CACCGGCCCUUGGGGCCUCGGCGCCUCCAGCUCCUGCCCCGCCCGACGGGGCUCCACCUCUUCGCGACCCGGGGCGGGCGGCGACUUGAGUCCGGCCGACCCAGGGGUCGACUGCGCCCCCCUCUUCACGGCCUUCAGGGGGGCCAGCGCCACUGAUGCCACCUUUUGCUUUCGGCUGAAAAAAUAACACAAGCCAGAAGAAAGAGAAAAACAAAAAAAAUCAAAGGAAAGAUCAGAAAUCCUAUACGCACCUCGCUCGGGGGGCAGAUUUCUUAUGGGAGCUUGGAGCUCCUUAGGGGCC
rnacentral:lncRNA from 1 species